rnacentral:lncRNA from 1 species
UGGGUGUAAUUAGUGCUUAAUGAUCGGGUACUACUAAGAGAGGAAUUUUAGUUACCUUGUAGAAAAUAGUAAGCUAUGUUUAUAUUCUAUGUAAAACAUACACAGAAAUAUCUACACUACGUUUGCAACUUAACACACCGAAAAUGUAUCGUUUCAAAUUAAGAAGAAAAAAUAUAGUAGUUGGAAAUUUAUGAGGAAACUUCUGUACUACAAAGAAAAAGAAAGAAUUUAUGAGGAAACUAGCCAAAACAGCCGAAAUAUAAACGAGGAAGCCAAGCUCAUGACAUGACAUGUAAUAGGAGGCCGUUGAAAGCUUUAGUUAUUGAAAUUGUUUUUUUGUUUUUGUUUUUUUGGAGUCCAAAGACUUAACAUAUCUAUAAGUGCAAUCAUGCCACAUGAGGUAAAGAACAAACUUCAUAAGGUAAAGAAGUGUAUAAAUAUCAAAACAUUAAUUAUUUUAGUUAUAAUUUAUAAAUACACUAUUUAAUUAUAUUAAACAAUUUCCCAUGACACGGAUCGCAUGAUUAUAUAAUCCGGAGACAUCCAAAGACUAAAAAAUAUCCAGUAAAUCCCAUUUCAUAAAUCUGACUUGGCAUAUGAACAUAGGAGGCUAAUUUAAAUUGUUUGUAAUGAAAUAGAACUAUAAUAAAGUUGUGUGAGGGAGGUUGGUUAGUAAUGCGUAUAUUUUGUGUUAUAUAUCCAAAAAUGGGAGAUGGAGUUAAUGUGAGUAUUAAAGUUGCAUCGGCAUUCAUCAAUUCAUCAACCUCCCCUUCUCCCUUCUCCCAUCUUUAAUUGUCUUUAUUGUCUCUCCAUUUAUUGACCUCUCCAUUUUUCCAAACUCUUCUUCCUUCAUAUACACCAUUCUUAUCACCAUGCAUACAUUCAUGAUACAUAUAUACAUCCAUAUGACUUCACCAACAAUCUGUUUCAUCCUUUUUAGAUUUUAACAAUAUAUCAAAGAACAUGAAGUAAUUAAAGAUGAUUUGUGAUGACAAUAAGAUGAUGAUGGUGGUGGUGGUAGAUGAGAAAGGGAAAACCAGAAAGAGAAAUCGGUUAGCACUUCACAUCUAAGCAUUUAAAUGAGACUGGUUGGAGUUAUUGAAGACAUCCAACUUGGAACUCACACAUCAUACUUCACAUUACUUCCCUCUCUUUUUUUUAUUCCUCCAAAAAUCCAAAUUAAGAUGCAGCAGUCGGCAGAUCACGUUUAUUGCCUAGUAAAUCUUUGAAAAUUCUAAAUAUUUAUAUACUAUAUUUUUUAUUCAAGAGUAUCUAAUUGAUCAACCAUUAAUAAAUUCUUAUAUUGGUAUCUAAUUCAAUUACUCCAUAUGAACCGGUGGAGACAAUAACUCCCCUGAAGAUUUUCCUACAUGUAUAUAAAUAGAGACGACCU